CCGCCUGGGGAGUACGGCCGCAAGGUUGAACUCAAAGGAAUUGACGGGGGCCCGCACAAGCGGUGGAGUAUGUGGUUUAAUUCGAUGCAACGCGAAGAACCUUACCUGGCCUUGACAUGCUAGGAAUCCUGUAGAGAUAUGGGAGUGCCCGCAAGGGAACCUAGACACAGGUGCUGCAUGGCUGUCGUCAGCUCGUGUCGUGAGGUGUUCGGUUAAGUCCGGCAACGAGCGCAACCCAUAUCAUUAGUUGCCAACAGGUAAUGCUGGGGACUCUAAUGAGACUGCCCGUGUCAAGCGGGAGGAAGGCGUGGACGACGUCAAGUCAGUAUGGCCCUUACACCCAGGGCUGCACACGUGCUACAAUGGCGACUACAGAAGGCAGCAAUACCGCGAGGUGGAGCAAAUCCGUUAAAAGUCGCCCCAGUUCGGAUUGGAGUCUGCAACUCGACUCCAUGAAGUCGGAAUCGCUAGUAAAGGCGUAUCAGCUACGACGCCUUGAAUACGUUCCCGGGCCUUGUACACACCGCCCGUCACAUCAUGGGAGCCUGGUGCACCCGAAGCCGCCGUACCAACUGCUUGCAGAGGAAGGCGUCGAAGGUGUGCCCGGUGACUGGGAUGAAGUCGUAAUAAGGUAGCC
rnacentral:rRNA from 1 species